UCGCCUACGGGAGGCUGCAGUGGGGAAUAUUGCACAAUGGGCGCAAGCCUGAUGCAGCAACGCCGCGUGAGUGAUGAAGGCCUUCGGGUUGGAAAACUCUGUCCUAUGGGAAGAAACAAAUGACGGUACCAUAGGAGGAAGCCCCGGCUAACUACGUGCCAGCAGCCGCGGUAAUACGUAGGGGGCAAGCGUUAUCCGGAAUCACUGGGCGUAAAGGGUGCGUAGGCGGCUUAUCAAGCCAGGGGUGAAAGGCAUUGGCUCAACCAAUGUAAGCCUUUGGAACUGAUAGGCUUGAGUGCAGGAGAGGUAAGUGGAAUUCCUAGUGUAGAGGUGAAAUUCGUAGAUAUUAGGAGGAACACCAGUGGCGAAGGCGACUUACUGGACUGUAACUGACGCUGAGGCACGAAAGCGUGGGUAGCGAACAGGAUUCGAUACCCUGGUAGUCAGU
rnacentral:rRNA from 1 species